GUCGAACGCGUCUCCGUUAAUGAUUUUAGGUGCUUGCAUUUGAAAGAUUUAACAUUGAGACGAGUGGCGAACUGGUGAGUAACACGUGGGUAACCUGCCCUUGAAGUAGGGGAUAACACUUGGAAACAGGUGCUAAUACCGUAUAACAACCAAAACCACCUGGUUUUGGUUUAAAAGACGGCUUCGGCUGUCACUUUAGGAUGGACCCGCGGCGUAUUAGCUUGUUGGUAAGGUAACGGCCUACCAAGGCGAUGAUACGUAGCCGAUCUGAGAGGGUAAUCGGCCACAUUGGGACUGAGACACGGCCCAAACUCCUACGGGAGGCAGCAGUAGGGAAUCUUCCACAAUGGACGAAAGUCUGAUGGAGCAACGCCGCGUGAGUGAUGAAGGGUUUCGGCUCGUAAAACUCUGUUGUUGGAGAAGAACAGGUGUCAGAGUAACUGUUGACAUCUUGACGGUAUCCAACCAGAAAGCCACGGCUAACUACGUGCCAGCAGCCGCGGUAAUACGUAGGUGGCAAGCGUUGUCCGGAUUUAUUGGGCGUAAAGCGAGCGCAGGCGGUUUUUUAGGUCUGAUGUGAAAGCCCUCGGCUUAACCGAGGAACUGCAUCGGAAACUGUUUUUCUUGAGUGCAGAAGAGGAGAGUGGAACUCCAUGUGUAGCGGUGGAAUGCGUAGAUAUAUGGAAGAACACCAGUGGUGAAGGCGGCUCUCUGGUCUGCAACUGACGCUGAGGCUCGAAAGCAUGGGUAGCGAACAGGAUUAGAUACCCUGGUAGUCCAUGCCGUAAACGAUGAGUGCUAAGUGUU
rnacentral:rRNA from 1 species